UACGGGGGGGGGCAAGCGUUGUUCGGAUUCAUUGGGCGUAAAGGGUGCGUAGGUGGCGCGCUAAGUCGGGUGUGAAAUUUCGGAGCUUAACUCCGAAACUGCAUUCGAUACUGGCGUGCUUGAGGACUGGAGAGGAGACUGGAAUUUACGGUGUAGCAGUGAAAUGCGUAGAUAUCGUAAGGAAGACCAGUGGCGAAGGCGGGUCUCUGGACAGUUCCUGACACUGAGACACGAAGGCCAGGGGAGCAAACGGG
rnacentral:rRNA from 1 species